CUCUCCCUCUCCCUCUCCCUCAAGUCCGGCGUCGUUGCCCUGUUACAAGAUAAGGCCCCUUCGCCGGAACCUCCUCCCGGCCUAUGCUAAAAAAAAUACGGAGGACUGGAGGAGGGACAUACCUUGGGACGCUGAAGAAUGGGAAGAGGGAGAUCCGCGGAAUGAGGAGCCGGAAGUCAGGAGAUCUAGGGCACCGAGCACGGAAGCGGUAUACUCUUCUCCAAAUGAUCCUCCGCCGCAGCUCAAGAUCUAGGCAUAGCCGCACGGGAGAUCUAAGGCACCGAGCACGGAAGCGGUCUACUCCUCGUCUCCUCCAGAUGAUCCUCCGCCGCAGCUCAAGAGUCAAGACCUAGGGCACGGCCGCACGGGAGCGAAAAAGGGAGGAAGGGGUCCAAGCGGUGAUUCGGUGAAGCGGAUGAUUUAUAUAUCAUCCGCCUCUACUUUCCUUGCGGGCUGCGGGCCUAGCACUGCGGCCCAACGGCCCUGCUGCCCCUGCAGGCCUGCAUGUCUUAAAAAAAUUGAUCCAAAAAAAUUGGGCGGGGCCGGGUCGGGGUGCGGGUCGAAAUUGGACGGAUCCGACCCGAUCCGAAAAAUAGAACGGGUCCAAAUUUAGAACCCGAUCCGGCCCCGCGGAUCCUAAAAUUC
rnacentral:lncRNA from 1 species